AAGUACUGCGUGGGUAUGAUCCAGUUAGUUUGAUGUUCUAAAGAUUGAGCUUUUAGUAGCUUCUGGUACUU
rnacentral:tRNA from 1 species